CCCGGGAGACGUUUAUCUUCUUCCGCCGCUACUUCGACGCCAUCACCCCCGCAGAGCCUUGGGCUUCAUUGCCAGCCGAGAUGCGGGAGCAAUUUGCAGGUGUGGAGGAGACUGCUCGCUUUAGGAUUUUGCUGGAGGGCCCAAUUUAUUGGGCUUGGCACCUGGGUGAGCGUUUCCUACCGCCAGACCCUAGGUUUACCGGAGCAGAUAGUCCCGGUUCACCCUCUUGAGCAUAUGAGGGACACCGAGAGGUUCACUUCCGAGCAGAUGGCCGACUACACGAUCGGCUGGGAUGCGAUCCGCUUCAGAGGCAUAGGCGACUACUCAGAGUAUGUGAGGACGCAUAUCAUGCGGCCUUUGAGUAGUGGCCGCCGAGCUAAGAAGGAGGGACCUGCGGCUGGAGCCGGAGCAAGAGCAGGGACAUCGAGGGUGGCUCGGGCUCGUGGCAGGAGCGGAGCUCGGAGGUGACAGGGGGCUAGUUGGCCAGCACUGCCUGUGACGAUGACAUGCCGAGGGCGGGGUGGGGCAACUUACCAGAUUCCCAUUGCUCCCCCUCUGGCAGACCACGAGCUAGUCAGGUUUUAUGGCUUGCCUCCGGCCUCUUCUGAGUACACUCGCCAGUCCCUAGAGCUGACCGCCUCCGUGAUGGGGAUGCUCCAGUAGAGCCUCGACCUUCUGGCAAUUUACAGCAUUCCGCAUCCCUUCCAGAUUCCUACUGUAGGAGGUGCUCUAGCUGGACCAUCCAUUCCUGUUCAAGGGGGAGAUGGAGAGGGCAGAGUAUACCCCCGCACCAAGGCGGGGCGCACUCAUGUUGGGAGUAGCUCACGAGCACUCGUCCCUGAUGAUGAUGAUAACGAGUCCGAGGCUGAGGCUGAGGCUGAGGCGGAGGCAGAGGCAGAGUCGUCCGAGGAGGAGACCGGAGACGGCUCGGGCUCAGACUCAAAGGACGAUGCUGAUGAUGAUGCUCCUGGACCUUCCUCCAGGAAGAGGACGAGGAUGAGGACGGACCCUUAGACCCGAGGCCUUUUGACAUUGAUCCAAAUUUUUGCUGUUUUUUUUUUUCUUCUUUUUUGUACUUUUCUUUUUGUUGCUAGUAGCUAGAGUACCUUGUACUGCCGCAGGCAGGUUUUUUGUUUCCAAAGCUUUGUACUUGACAAAGAUGAUGAAAUGAAAUAAA